AAGACCCACGAAGAGGAUGGAGAGGGUGCGAGAAGACAGUGGAGGGCAAUUCCAUGCUUCUCCAGGCAAAGCCAAUGGGAGAACUUGGCCUUGGGCCCCCAGCUCUACAGCUCCACUACUGGCCCUUAUUUAGCAGCGAUAUCACAGCCUGCUGGGGGCUCAGGUCUACGACUCUCACUGGAGCCACCAGCCCUUCCUCCUGGCCGAUGCUUAUUGAGAUGCACCUGGGGAAGCGUGGGUUGCAUCACACCAGAGCAGACCUGGGACCUGGGGCAGCAUCAGGAAGAAGUGGCACGCAGGGGCCUCCCCCAAGUCCAGUGUCGUGCCUGGUCCACGCACAGCUGAUUGACUCCAAUAUAAAUCCAUUACAUUUGGCGAACUCCACCCAGCGUGAGCUCCAGCCUGGCCCCCCGUGGACUUCCGUGCUCUUACCAGCACCACCUCGACGCCAGUUACCCAGGCGUGAAAGCGUGCGGACGGCACGAACUCCUUCCUUCCCCUCAUCCCCCCCGGCCGGCUCCUCACCAGGUUCUGGCCCCACGUGCCCUUCUCCGCCCUUCCUACUGCAAACUCAGCUUUCCCUGCUACUCAAGCUCACCUCUCUGCCUGUCUGAGUGACGGAAACCGGUAACCGCCUUUAGUGAGCAAACACAAUUCCUGCUCGCCUAAAGAACCUGGGGUUUGCCUGGGGCUUCUCAUCUGAGUGACAGCAAAGAGGCGACGGCCUGGAUCAGUCCCGACUGAUAGGCAGCUCCAUACUGUCAGCGCCCAAAGGAGAGCAGAGGCCUCUGGGAGCAGAGGGCGCCCUGGGACUAGGCUAGGGGUGCAGCGGGACCCAGCAGUCCGGCCUCACCUCUGCAGGUUUCAGCGGGAGGGCGGCUGCGCCCACCAUUUGACCUGCCUGUGUCCCCUCACGUGGGCUCAGGCUUGUGGCCUCCUUCAAUAAAAACCUUUUAAAAUGA